rnacentral:rRNA from 1 species
AGUGAACGCUGGCGGUAGGCCUAACACAUGCAAGUCGAACGGCAGCACAGUAAGAGCUUGCUCUUACGGGUGGCGAGUGGCGGACGGGUGAGGAAUACAUCGGAAUCUACUUUUUCGUGGGGGAUAACGUAGGGAAACUUACGCUAAUACCGCAUACGACCUACGGGUGAAAGCAGGGGAUCUUCGGACCUUGCGCGAUUGAAUGAGCCGAUGUCGGAUUAGCUAGUUGGCGGGGUAAAGGCCCACCAAGGCGACGAUCCGUAGCUGGUCUGAGAGGAUGAUCAGCGACACUAGAACUGAGACACGGUCCAGACUCCUACGGGAGGCAGCAGUGGGGAAUAUUGGACAAUGGGCGCAAGCAUGAUCCAGCCAUACCGCGUGGGUGAAGAAGGCCUUCGGGUUGUAAAGCCCUUUUGUUGGGAAAGAAAAGCAGCAGGUUAAUACCCCGCUGUUCUGACGGUACCCAAAGAAUAAGCACCGGCUAACUUCGUG